GGGUUCCUGUCCAACGUUAAUCGGGGCAGGGUGAGUCGACCCCUAAGGCGAGGCCGAAAGGCGUAGUCGAUGGGAAACAGGUUAAUAUUCCUGUACUUGGUGUUACUGCGAAGGGGGGACGGAGAAGGCUAUGUUGGCCGGGCGACGGUUGUCCCGGUUUAAGCGUGUAGGCUGGUUUUCCAGGCAAAUCCGGAAAACCAAGGCUGAGGCGUGAUGACGAGGCACUACGGUGCUGAAGUGACAAAUGCCCUGCUUCCAGGAAAAGCCUCUAAGCAUCAGGUAACAUCAAAUCGUACCCCAAACCGACACAGGUGGUCAGGUAGAGAAUACCAAGGCGCUUGAGAGAACUCGGGUGAAGGAACUAGGCAAAAUGGUGCCGUAACUUCGGGAGAAGGCACGCUGAUAUGUAGGUGAAGCGACUUGCUCGUGGAGCUGAAAUCAGUCGAAGAUACCAGCUGGCUGCAACUGUUUAUUAAAAACACAGCACUGUGCAAACACGAAAGUGGACGUAUACGGUGUGACGCCUGCCCGGUGCCGGAAGGUUAAUUGAUGGGGUUAGCGGUAACGCGAAGCUCUUGAUCGAAGCCCCGGUAAACGGCGGCCGUAACUAUAACGGUCCUAAGGUAGCGAAAUUCCUUGUCGGGUAAGUUCCGACCUGCACGAAUGGCGUAAUGAUGGCCAGGCUGUCUCCACCCGAGACUCAGUGAAAUUGAACUCGCUGUGAAGAUGCAGUGUACCCGCGGCAAGACGGAAAGACCCCGUGAACCUUUACUAUAGCUUGACACUGAACAUUGAGCCUUGAUGUGUAGGAUAGGUGGGAGGCUUUGAAGUGUGGACGCCAGUCUGCAUGGAGCCGACCUUGAAAUACCACCCUUUAAUGUUUGAUGUUCUAACGUUGGCCCCUAAUCGGGGUUGCGGACAGUGUCUGGUGGGUAGUUUGACUGGGGCGGUCUCCUCCUAAAGAGUAACGGAGGAGCACGAAGGUUGGCUAAUCCUGGUCGGACAUCAGGAGGUUAGUGCAAUGGCAUAAGCCAGCUUGACUGCGAGCGUGACGGCGCGAGCAGGUGCGAAAGCAGGUCAUAGUGAUCCGGUGGUUCUGAAUGGAAGGGCCAUCGCUCAACGGAUAAAAGGUACUCCGGGGAUAACAGGCUGAUACCGCCCAAGAGUUCAUAUCGACGGCGGUGUUUGGCACCUCGAUGUCGGCUCAUCACAUCCUGGGGCUGAAGUAGGUCCCAAGGGUAUGGCUGUUCGCCAUUUAAAGUGGUACGCGAGCUGGGUUUAGAACGUCGUGAGACAGUUCGGUCCCUAUCUGCCGUGGGCGCUGGAGAACUGAGGGGGGCUGCUCCUAGUACGAGAGGACCGGAGUGGACGCAUCACUGGUGUUCGGGUUGUCAUGCCAAUGGCACUGCCCGGUAGCUAAAUGCGGAAGAGAUAAGUGCUGAAAGCAUCUAAGCACGAAACUUGCCCCGAGAUGAGUUCUCCCUGAGACUUAGAGUCUCCUGAAGGAACGUUGAAGACGACGACGUUGAUAGGCCGGGUGUGUAAGCGCAGCGAUGCGUUGAGCUAACCGGUACUAAUGAACCGUGAGGCUUAACCUUACAACGCCGAAG
rnacentral:rRNA from 1 species